rnacentral:rRNA from 1 species
AUGAACGCUGGCGGCGUGCCUAACACAUGCAAGUCGAGCGAAGCACUUUACCAGAUUUCUUCGGAAUGAAAGUGAUGUGACUGAGCGGCGGACGGGUGAGUAACGCGUGGAUAACCUGCCUCAUACAGGGGGAUAACAGUUAGAAAUGACUGCUAAUACCGCAUAAGACCACAGCACCGCAUGGUGCAGGGGUAAAAACUCCGGUGGUAUGAGAYGGAUCCGCGUCUGAUUAGCUAGUUGGUAAGGUAACGGCUUACCAAGGCAACGAUCAGUAGCCGACCUGAGAGGGUGACCGGCCACAUUGGGACUGAGACACGGCCCAAACUCCUACGGGAGGCAGCAGUGGGGAAUAUUGCACAAUGGGGGAAACCCUGAUGCAGCGACGCCGCGUGAGCGAUGAAGUAUUUCGGUAUGUA